rnacentral:rRNA from 1 species
GACGAACGCUGGCGGCGUGCUUAACACAUGCCAGUCGAACGGAAAGGCCCUGCUUUUGUGGGGUGCUCGAGUGGCGAACGGGUGAGUAACACGUGAGUAACCUGCCCUUGACUUUGGGAUAACUUCAGGAAACUGGGGCUAAUACCGGAUAGGAGCUCCUGCUGCAUGGUGGGGGUUGGAAAGUUUCGGCGGUUGGGGAUGGACUCGCGGCUUAUCAGCUUGUUGGUGGGGUAGUGGCUUACCAAGGCUUUGACGGUUAGCCGGCCUGAGAGGGUGACCGGCAACAUUGGGACUGAGAUACGGCCCAGACUCAUACGGGAGGCAGCAGUGGGGAAUAUUGCACAAUGGGCGGAAGCAUGAUGCAGCAACGCCGCGUGCGGGAUGACGGCCUUCGGGUUGUAAACCGCUUUCGCCUGUGACGAAGCGUGAGUGACGGUAAUGGGUAAAGAAGCACCGGCUAACUACGUG